CAGCAGCCGCGGUAAUACGUAGGGUGCAAGCGUUAAUCGGAAUUACUGGGCGUAAAGCGUGCGCAGGCGGUUAUAUAAGACAGAUGUGAAAUCCCCGGGCUCAACCUGGGAACUGCAUUUGUGACUGUAUAGCUAGAGUACGGCAGAGGGGGAUGGAAUUCCGCGUGUAGCAGUGAAAUGCGUAGACAUGCGGAGGAACACCGAUGGCGAAGGCAAUCCCCUGGGCCUGUACUGACGCUCAUGCACGAAAGCGUGGGGAGCAAACAGGAUUAGAUACCCCCGUAGUCCCUGUCUCUUACAC
rnacentral:rRNA from 1 species